rnacentral:lncRNA from 1 species
CAAAACUCGCCUGGAAAGAUAUAGAUGAGGUGAUUCUUGUUGGUGGUUCAACACGUAUACCAGCUGUGCAGGAGCUUGUAAGGAAGGUGACAGGGAAGGAACCAAAUGUUACAGUUAAUCCUGAUGAAGUUGUUGCCUUGGGGGCUGCAGUUCAGGUGGGUCUAUGAUUUCCAUCUACAGGCUAUGCCCAUUGUGGUGUGACUAUCAUUUUUCUGAAUUGUGAGGGGACAAAGCUUCUUUUGUUUUGUUUUGUUAACUGAUAUAAUGCUUUCUAAAGUUGUUGGUUUUUUUAUUCAUGAGACAGUUUGUGUUACUAUUAUCAUAUCUGACCUGUGAUGCUUUUUAUUUUCCUGAUUCUAGGCUGGUGUAUUAGCUGGUGAUGUCAGUGACAUUGUGCUCUUGGAUGUGACUCCACUGUCAUUGGGUUUGGAGACCCUUGGUGGGGUCAUGACAAAGAUCAUCCCAAGAAACACAACUCUACCUACCUCGAAGUCAGAGGUGUUCUCAACAGCUGCAGAUGGACAGACAAGUGUGGAGAUUAAUGUACUUCAAGGGGAAAGAGAAUUUGUUAGAGAUAACAAAUCUCUUGGGAGCUUCCGUUUGGAUGGUAUCCCGCCUGCGCCACGGGGGG